AUUGAACGCUGGCGGCAUGCUUUACACAUGCAAGUCGAACGGUAACAGGCCGCAAGGUGCUGACGAGUGGCGAACGGGUGAGUUAUGCAUCGGAACGUGCCCAGUCGUGGGGGAUAACGCAGCGAAAGCUGUGCUAAUACCGCAUACGAUCUAUGGAUGAAAGCGGGGGACCGUAAGGCCUCGCGCGAUUGGAGCGGCCGAUGUCAGAUUAGCUAGUUGGUGGGGUAAAGGCCCACCAAGGCGACGAUCUGUAGCUGGUCUGAGAGGACGACCAGCCACACUGGGACUGAGACACGGCCCAGACUCCUACGGGAGGCAGCAGUGGGGAAUUUUGGACAAUGGGCGCAAGCCUGAUCCAGCAAUGCCGCGUGCAGGAAGAAGGCCUUCGGGUUGUAAACUGCUUUUGUACGGAACGAAACGGUCUGGGUUAAUACCCUGGGCUAAUGACGGUACCGUAAGAAUAAGCACCGGCUAACUACGUGCCAGCCGCCGCAGUAA
rnacentral:rRNA from 1 species